CGGGGUGUAGCGCAGCUGGCUAGCGCACCUGCUUUGGGAGCAGGGGGUCGCCAGUUCGAAUCUGGCCACCCCGACCA
rnacentral:tRNA from 1 species